UACGUAGGGGGCAAGCGUUGUCCGGAAUCAUUGGGCGUAAAGAGCGUGUAGGCGGCCUGGUAAGUCCGCUGUGAAAGUCCAGGGCUCAACCCUGGAAUGCCGGUGGAAACUGUCAGGCUCGAGUCCGGAAGAGGCGAGUGGAAUUCCUGGUGUAGCGGUGGAAUGCGCAGAUAUCAGGAGGAACACCGAUGGCGAAGGCAGAUCUCUGGGCCGUAACUGACGCUGAGGAGCGAAAGCGUGGGGAGCGAACAGG
rnacentral:rRNA from 1 species